AUGUAGAGUUUCAGAUGACAUGGAGAAAAGCUCUUUGUAAGUGGAAAAGAAUUAUGGAAAUGUAAAGGUUUGUUAUUUUAGUUUUCAAAUGGGGAGAAAGUGUACUGACCAGAUUCAUCAAGAAAUGACAUAUCAAGAAAGCUUCUUUUUGGGAUAAAAAGAUGUUCAGUGGGACUUUUCCCCGGUGUCCUGGGAUGCUGGCCAAAGCUGAGAACAAUGGGUGAGAAGUAUCUCCUCACUGUAAAGAAAGGACUGAAAAUAUCCUGCUGAACACACUCGGAGUAAGAAGCACCUUCCCAGCAACCAUUCACCCCAGCAAGGUCGAGCAGCCCAGACAGCCAGGCUUAGCCCAGAGAGGACCGUGAUGGCACCAGUGACUCCAGAGUCUUCUCUCCUGCAUUUAUCCCACUCACCCUAGUUGAAUCCAAGAUAUCCAGAAGAAAAAAUGGAGGGGUGGCCAAGAGUGAAAGACUAUUUGAGCCCCUUCCUCAUUGGAGUUGUUUGAUUCCUGGGUAAGGCAUGAGUCAAAGAGGGAAAAGAAGUAAGAGAUCAUGUUUGAAAUGGAAGUUUCACUGUUAGACUGGAUUGGACCCUGGACCACCAAAAAAGAAAUAAUAAUUAACUAAAUGAUCCUGUUUAUAGUGGAAAGUGAAGAAACACUUCAGAAUCUGCCUGAGAUUCCAUAACCAUGUGGGAAAGUGGGGUAUAAUAGUGUGUUUCCUGAGUGGUGGACUCCACCGAAGUCAAAGUGAAAAUAACUUCAGUCUACAGCUAAGUAGCUCACUAGUGAUGGGAAUCUCAAUGGAACAUGACAGAAACAAGGAACCAGACAUAUGGUGACACAGAAGCCUGGAACACGGAAGCAACUCAUUGAGAUGAACACAUGUGGGUAACAGCUGAACUGAGACUAGCAUGC
ensembl:lncRNA